rnacentral:sRNA from 1 species
AAAACAAAAACAAAAUGUUUAAUUUCACUGAACGGGGUUAGAUGGUAGGACGGGUUUGGGUCGACAGUAAUACGAGACGGUAUACCACGGGUGAAAUCCAUUACAUAUGUUUAGUUUCACUCAACGAGAUUAGAUGGUAUGACGGGUUUGGGUUGAUAAAAAUACAAGACGGUAUACUACGGGUGAAAUCCUAGACAUAACAAUCAAAAUACAAUUAUAUUAUCUUAAAUACUAAACA